rnacentral:rRNA from 1 species
AACGAACGCUGGCGGCAUGCCUAACACAUGCAAGUCGAACGAGACCUUCGGGUCUAGUGGCGCACGGGUGCGUAACGAGUGGGAACCUGCCCUUAGGUUCGGAAUAACUACCCGAAAGGGGGUGUAAUACCGGAUAAUGUCUUUGGACCAAAGAUUUAUCGCCUUUGGAUGGGCCCGCGUUGGAUUAGCUAGUUGGUAGGGUAAAAGCCUACCACGGCGACGAUCCAUAGCUGGUCUGAGAGGAUGAUCAGCCACACUGGGACUGAGACACGGCCCAGACUCCUACGGGAGGCAGCAGUGGGGAAUAUUGGACAAUGGGCGAAAGCCUGAUCCAGCAAUGCCGCGUGAGUGAUGAAGGCCUUAGGGUUGUAAAGCUCUUUUACCCGGGAUGAUAAUGACAGUACCGGGAGAAUAAGCUCCGGCUAACUCCGUG